CUUUUCGAGAUGAUAGACUUGGUUGGCUUCUCAUAGGGGCAAACAGGACCAGAACAUUUCCGAGCCUGCUCGGCCAUGUCUCUAUCCCUGAGCCUGAGCAGAGCCAUUGCAUUAGUGAAGGUGAGUCUUCUGAUGACCCUGAAAAGGCCAUUGGAGGGGCCUCAGGGAUAUUGAAAAGGAGCAUCGCCUUUUGUUAGAGCUACUUAAUACAUCUCUGAGGCAAUUCUCCCUGGAAGGCAGGAAUCCCACCAUGGAGAAUCAACAUGUGAUCAGUCACUGUUCUGUAUGAAUGCACAUUUCUCAGGUCUCUGGAGAAUUCACAGAGAAAUUAUCAGUACUUCACCAGACUUUAUAGGACACUUCAGUUUAUGGAAGAGGCUCAGAAAAAGAGCUGAUGCAGGUCUUGGCACUGUGUCAGUCACAGAUGAAGGUGCGACUGAAUAUGCAUGUUUUGGAACUUCCUGUGUUUUG